AUUUUAAUUUUCUGAUUUGGAAUCUUAAAGAGUUAAAACCAUUCAUACUUGUGUUGAGUGUUUAGAUCUGUCUAGGGUUGAUUGUAGUGCCACAAAAAUUGUUUUUAUUAUCUAAUGAAAUCAUUCCUUUCAAAAAAAAAAAUUAAAAAAAUAAUGGUGGCAGUAUCAUUUCUCAUACUUUUUUUGAUGUUUAGAGAGUUACAAGUCGGGCAGUGGCAGAUGAUCCGGGAAGCCAUACAAAAAAAAAAAAAGAAGGCCAAGUGUUAGACAAACCCAGCAAAAAGAAACAUAUGUAACAGUGUACCCUACUUUAUUAGGCUUCCAAUAUUUCAAUUUUUUUUAUUUUUAAACUUUUCAAUAAUUCUACUGGACCCACCUUGCUUCCUUUUACAUUCUUUUAUUUUUAUAUGAACCUUACGAUGUAGCAAAAUUUUACGGGUUUAAUUUUUGUUUUGUAUUUCAUUCUUUUGAGUAAAGCACAAAUUUGGGUACUCAAUUCUACAAUUUUUCAACGUUUAGGUGCUCAUUUUUUUUUACCGUUUGGGUACUGAGUACCAUUUUCCGGCCAAAAAAAUUAAUUCCCCCUAAGAAUUAUGUACCUUUGGUUAACAAUUCAAUACCUUGGGUUAACUGAAAGUGAGGCCCACCCGAAUAAAAAAAUGAGCGGGUCAGAAUUUUUUUCCCCCUUUCGUAUUCUCUUCUUCCCUUUAUUCUUUCCUCUUCUGGAAAAUUGAUGUGCAUUUGGUGAAGAACACGAGCAAGCUUGGGGCAAAUCUGGGGAAAACGACACUUAGCGCAACCAUUUUUUUGCGUGUGUUUUGUUUAGGGAAGAAUGGCUGAGGCUGAUUUUCUGACCUUGAAGCUCUGUUCAGAAUUUUUUUUUCUUGUCCUAGAUGACACUGGACUGCAGUAAAGAAGGGGAAGAACUGGAUGAAACAAGAGUUAUUCAGAAAUUUUUUUUUUCUGGGAAAUUCUGGGAAAAUCGUUGGUGAUGAAUUUAGGAUAAGAAAACUGGAUUGUAUCUGUUUUGCUGCUACUUUGUUGCUGCUGUAUUCAUGGCAUUUUUUUUCCUACUUCAGACCUCUUUAAAUAGCCUAAUAACGGCUAGUUUUGUACUGCUUCAAUAGAAAAAUUAGUUAUUGUAAAAGGAUAUGGUUACUGCCUUACUCGUGAGUUAAUUAGCCUGGAAAUAAUUUUGAGUA